AAGUAAAAAUUCAAGUACGUGUGUUAUCUAUAUCACGCCCAAUCUUCAACUGUUGUGAUAGCGUUACGUGGCUGUGAACUGAUAAAAAAGGAGUUUACUCAGUUACUCAAACAUCGUCUCACUCAUACUAGCCCAUCAUUCUGCCGGAUAGGGAGACGAUGAUUCUACUGGAAAACGCCGGAAUCAGAUACACUUAUAAACAUAAUGGGUACCGAGCGCAUCUCCGCCAACGGAAUUGUGGCAGAGCUUUCGUAAUUUGAGCUUUGUUGGCGCUUAGCUCGACAUGGAAACCACAGUUGGGCGAGUGAUGUUGUGCUUGCAGUCUAGACCUUCCGACGAUUGGUGGCUCUGAUCGUUUUCAUCCGAGAUUGAGGGACUCCUGCUAUGGCUGUGCAUUUGCUGAACAUGCUGCUGAUGUUGUUGCAUUUGUUGAUGGUGUUGCUGCACAACCUGUUGAUGGAUAGCCUGGUGGUAGGACGUGUAGGCAACUGACAUCGGUUCCAUCUUUACGAUGGAUCCCAACCCGUGCUGAUCGACACCGUUCACUUCCGAUGCCAUCAUAUCGUAGUACAUGCUGUUUGGAGACUCCGGAGGACUGUGGUGGUAUUUUGGGCUCAUCAUCGAACCGUUCGAGGAGUUAUUGUUGUUCAAAUGGUAACCCAUCGGGCUGAGCGAUUGGUGACCAGCCAUAACGUUGGCAUUGGUCAAUGGAGCACCUAGCGGAGGCAUCAUGAAGACACUUUUCUGAUGGCCAUAUUUUCCCAUUCCGUUGUUAUUAUUCAUGCUGCUGGUAUUGUUGUUAACGAUGGUACUCGUGGGUGUUCCGGUGAUCGGAGAUGGGAUCUGUUGGGUAUACGAGAUUGGCGACAGCUGGUUGUGAUGUGACGGAGAAGCCGAUUGAUGCGUUGGGGACAUGUUGCUCCCAACGCUGGAUGGCGUCGACGUGGACUGAAUGAUGCUUGAGUGGCCCACCGAUGACUUCAGAGAUUUCAAUUCUGGAAUAAAUGAACAGAAACAUUGUUUAAUUAAAUGUUAUAAAAACGA